rnacentral:lncRNA from 10 species
UUGAGGAAUCACCACACUGUCUUCCACAAUGGUUGAACUAGCUUUUAUGCAUUGCAAAGUGACUACACAAAGUGACCUAUCCCUUGUCUCCUUUAUCUCUCUAGCAACCCUCCAGUUAUUAGGGCAGCUACUACUCUCAUCUUCCAUAUAAGAAGUGGGAACACUUUCAUGGAUGUUCUGGGACUCACAGUCCAAGUCCUGGUUCUUAGAGAGUUGGAUCCAGAUCCUGUGUCUUGUAGGUAUAUAGGUAUAUGUUUAUGCAUUGAAAUGAAAUAUGUACAACUAGGUCCUUCCCCGUCUCCCCUAUAAAGCCUAUAAAGUCUUCUAUGAAACAAAGUUAAUUCCAUUCUCAGACAGAGGCUCCCAGAAUCCAGUGUUUUGGUUGGUCUCCGCUACAAAUGCUUUUUCUGAUAUUUGUGUGUUUGCAAGUCCCUCUCUGAGACUUUCUAAAAUUUGAUUGUUAAUUGGCUGUUAUAUGCAUGAAGUUCUGGACUUGGUGUCCCAAGCUCUUUAUAGAUUUACUUUUUUUCUCCCCCUCCUGCCAUUAAAUAAUCACCCUUGAGCUUCUCUCAACUUACUCUCCAUCAAUAACCAUUGUAUUCGUUCCAUUACAGCCCUCCUAAAUACAAAACAAUGACGACAACAACAAACCAUUCAAACUUCCAACCAACUUCCCCUGAAGGCACAGAAGGUGAGACCUAAGGGAAAAGAAAUCCACCCUCUUUAACAUCAGCUAACAGCAUAGGAGUAAAUGCCUGGUACAGAGCCCAGAAUUCCUAUUUCACAUUCUGAUUUGGCACUUUCACCAUAAUGGGAAAAUCUCCUCUACUUUUCCUGUGAAGCUGUUUCUUCUCCUUCUGGAAGAUAACAGCAGGAUGAUAGAGGAGGUCAAAGGAUAAAGAGAAAGGAUGCAGCCUAUUUCUUCAUUUAUUUGACCAAUAAUGUUUGAAAAUGAUGAAGUCCUUGUCCUCAAGAAACUAACAGCCUGGGGUGAAGGGUGCAGGUGGGACAGAUGUAAAAACAAUUUCAGAUGCAGACGCUACAUGUGAUUAUCAAAGUCUGUAGAGUGGCUCAUGCCUGUAAUCCCAGCACUUUAGGAGGCUAAGGCAGGCAGAUCACCUGAGGUCAGGAGUUCGAGACCAGCCUGGCCAACAUGGUAAAACCCCAUCUUUACUAAAAAUACAAAAAAAUAGCCAGGCGUGGUGGCAGUCACCUGUAAUCCCAGCUACUCGGGAGGCUGAGGCAGGAGAAUCACUUGAACCGGAGAGGCAGAGGUUGUGGUGAGCUGAGAUCGCGCCACUGCACUCCAGCCUGGGCAACAAGAGUGAGACUUCAUCUCAAAAAAAAAAAAAAAAAAAAAAAAGUCUGUAAAGAAGAGGUCAUAAAGUAGGGUAGUAGUUUUUUAAAAUAUAUAUCUAUACGCCCAUGACUAUUAAUGCCUGUGUAUGUGUGAGGGCCUUUGCUGGAAAAUGCAUGUGUCUGUCCACAUACCUGUUUGCAAGUGGGUGCAUAUAUGUUAUACACAUAUACGUUUGUGUGUAUAUGGGUGCCGCACUGUGUGUGUGUGUGUUUAUGUGUGUGUGUGUGUUAAGUGUUAUAUAUAAAUGGAGGCAGGAUACAGAGUCUAGUUUAGAGCAUUUGCUUCAACGUCUGGCUACCUGGGUUCAAGCCCUGAAAUCAGCAUUUAAAAGCUAUAGGCCUUUGAGUAAUUAUCUUUUUAAAGCACCGGUUUACUCGUCACUAAAUUGAAGGUAAUAAUAGUGGCUACCUUCAAUGUCUAAUGUGAGGGUGGAAUGAUAUAAUGCCCAAAAUGCACUUAAAAUAAUGCCUUAUACGUAGGGGGUGUUAAAAAAUAUUGGUUGUUACAAAGUAAUUCAUGACAAUAAAUAUGUAAGUGGCUGACUUGAGGGUCUCUGAGGCUUUCUGCAUGUGCAUCUGUGCCUUUGGGCACGUGAGGUUGAUAUGUGUGUCUGUUAGAAUGUGUGUGUUGGUGUGGAUAGACGCCUCUGGGUAUACAGGCCUGUGUGGGGGGCUAAGUGGGCAUGUGUGUUUGUGGUUUGCCUGUGAGUGCCUCUAUGUGAGUUUGUGUUCUGCCAGGAUUGGGAACAUUCCUAGGGAAGGGAUUGUGUCUAAUUAAUUAUUGUACCCAGGCCCUUGGACCCGGGACAUAAAAACUGCUAAGCAAAUUUGUGUUGACUGAAUGAAUGAAUGAAGUGGACUGGACAUUCAGAGAUUGUUAUUCAGACAACAUGCCCAUUUGUAGAAAACAAAAAGGUGUAAAUAGCUAGCUAGCUAGAUGAUAAUUGAGUAGGGAGGUAUGUAGACGAUAGGUAGAUAGGAGGUAGAUGAUGAUAGAUAGAUAGAUACAUACAUACAUAGAUAGAUACAUAGAUAGAUACAUGGAUAGAUAGAUGACAGGUAGCUAGACAGAUAGACAGCUGAGAUUGGCUCUAAGUGGAAUCCUAUGUACUUUCUCCUGGAAGUUAUAUUAGAGUUCAUAUGUCUCAGGGUGCUCCAAAACAUCGGCUCUGGCAGCUCUGUGAGUUAUUAUGGAGUUGCUUUGAGGGCCUUCAGAGGAAGGAAUCACAGAAUGGGAGAGCUAAGCUCCCCACCUGACAUCAACAAGAAUCUAUUUGCUUUUAAUCUCUGGUUGUCCAAGUCGAAUUGUAAAGUUUCACUACUAUAAAUUUUUGAAAAUCUUGUUACAGACCAACCCCUUUUAUUCUACAGAAGGGAGCAGCUGAGCCUCAGAGAGGGGAGAAGGUUAGAACCUGACCUCUCUUUCAGGCCUGUUUCUACCAUGCCACCUGCCUUGGGAUGUAGUAAGUAUGACUCCGCUAACUCACUGGGAAACAGAAUGCAAUUCUUCUCAGGAACCCGUCUUUUAGAGAAGCCACUAUCAUAGUGGCCCUUGGGAUGUCUGUCCAAGAAAUGACCCCAUUUGUGUCAGACCUGCCCCAUUAGGUCAGCCCCUUUGGCUAUGUGCUAGAUGGUCCCAGUCCCCUGGCCCAGACUACUGGACCCUGACCCAAGCAGCAAAAUCAAAUUCCCUGAUGCAAUUUGGAGGUGGGAUAGCAACAUGCUAACCAGUCUCUGUUGGUCCCUGAAUUAGGAAGUGAUGUGAAGCUAGAAUGUCCAUAUUUAAUCAAGGGAUGAGUGAACAGGAAAAGCUGGCUUCAGAGACAUAAAAAGA